rnacentral:rRNA from 1 species
GAUGAACGCUGGCGGCGUGCCUAAUACAUGCAAGUCGAGCGAACAGACGAGGAGCUUGCUCCUCUGACGUUAGCGGCGGACGGGUGAGUAACACGUGGAUAACCUACCUAUAACACUGGGAUAACUUCGGGAAACCGGAGCUAAUACCGGAUAAUAUAUUGAACCGCAUGGUUCAAUAGUGAAAGACGGUUUUGCUGUCACUUAUAGAUGGAUCCGCGCCGCAUUAGCUAGUUGGUAAGGUAACGGCUUACCAAGGCAACGAUGCGUAGCCGACCUGAGAGGGUGAUCGGCCACACUGGAACUGAGACACGGUCCAGACUCCUACGGGAGGCAGCAGUAGGGAAUCUUCCGCAAUGGGCGAAAGCCUGACGGAGCAACGCCGCGUGAGUGAUGAAGGUCUUCGGACCGUAAAACUCUGUUAUUAGGGAAGAACAAAUGUGUAAGUAACUAUGCACGUCUUGACGGUACCUAAUCAGAAAGCCACGGCUAACUACGUG